rnacentral:rRNA from 1 species
GACGAACGCUGGCGGCGUGCUUAACACAUGCAAGUCGAACGGUAAGGCCCUUCGGGGUACACGAGUGGCGAACGGGUGAGUAACACGUGGGUGAUCUGCCCUGCACUUCGGGAUAAGCCUGGGAAACUGGGUCUAAUACCGGAUAGGACUCCUGGCUUCAUGGUUGGGGGUGUAAAGCUUUUGCGGUGUGGGAUGGGCCCGCGGCCUAUCAGCUUGUUGGUGGGGUAAUGGCCUACCAAGGCGACGACGGGUAGCCGGCCCGAGAGGGUGACCGGCCACACUGGGACUGAGAUACGGCCCAGACUCCUACGGGAGGCAGCAGUGGGGAAUAUUGCACAAUGGGCGCAAGCCUGAUGCAGCGACGCCGCGUGAGGGAUGACGGCC